rnacentral:misc_RNA from 1 species
AAUAACUCUAAUUUGGAUUCUCUCCCAAAGCCUCAAGUUAUUUAUCGCUGUAAAAAAUGUCGGAGGCUUGUUGCAUCAGCAGAGAACAUAGUUUCCCAUGAACGAGGAAAAGGAGAACAAUGCUUUAAAUGGAAAAAGAGAAGCGGUGACCCCUUUGAAAGGGAACCAGCUGAAUGCUCCUCCAUUUUUGUAGAGCCCAUGAAAUGGAUGCAAACA